AGCCUUUUUUUUUUUUUUGCCAAACAUCUUUCCUAAUCAAUAUGCUCCACUGGACCAAAAGGUCUUUCCAUAGUUUUGUAGAUAUUGUUGUAAGUGCAAGAGAUGAGUCAAGUAAGUGUUUUUCUGGGAAUAGUUAGGGUCCCCAAACAAAAAAGGCUGUAAAGUGCGGAGCCCCGCAAUCCCUCGGCUACUUGUGCUACUGUGCAAAACUGGAAACCCAAUAUGGCUGCACAUUAAUGCAGUUUGUUUGCUUUUAGUUUAGCAUGUUCUGUGCACCCAACCACUGAGGUAACAGUUGGAAACUUAUCAGAGAGGGAUCCAACUUGGAACUUAGGAGAAAUUUCCUGAGAAAAACUAAUCAGUCGAAUGACUUCCCUUCAGAGGUUGUAAGUGCUUCAUAACUUCACCACUCCUCUCUUUUAAGAAGUGAUUGGAUAGCCAUUUGUCCAGAGUGAUAAAACGCCUUCUGCUUGAGCAGGGUGUUAGGCUUGAAGACCUCCAAUGACCCCAUUCAUUAUUAUUGGCAGAAGGUUGAUAGCAACUUUUCAGACUAGCCUACUUUAUUAGAAAACAGAUAAUUUAAGUUUGUUCCUUUGCCCUUUAACCAGAUUCUUUCUGUUUUGAGGCUAACACACAGACUAACACACUUCUCCAACAAUCUCAGAAGGGGUGUUGAUCUAUGCAGCACAGACUGGGAAGUCUUCAAACACUUGCCACAAGAAUGUGCCCUUAACAUAAUCUAGACAUCACUGGUUGUCAGAGAUGAACUAAAUCUAAAAGAGAACAAUUAACAGGUAGUUCAUUAGUUAUCAAGUCACAAAUAUUCCAUAUGCUUUGAAUAUUAUAGACUCAGUUUAAUAUGCAUAAUUCCCUUUCAUCCGCUCAACUGGUAUUCAAUCUGAAAAUGUACAUUAGCCAAAAGAAAGAACCCUGGAAAUAAGGAGGAAUUUCCCGAGAGUGAGAACUGUUAGGCAGUGGAACAAUUUGCCUUGUGGAAUUGUGUGUGCUCCAUUGUGGAAAUUUUCAAGAAAAGAUUGGGCAAUCAUUUAUCUGAGCAGGAGGUUGGACUAGGAGUUCCUUCCAUCCUAGGAUUCUAUAAUUCCCUCUGUGCUUUGUGCUACAAUUAUUGUGCUUCUCUGUUAUUCAUGAACAGACAGCUUCCCACAGGAAAGGCAGGCCAAAGGCCACCAAGAGAGACAGCUACCAGGCUGUUGAGCCACUCCUAGUCCAAAGUGAGAUGCCCUCUUUCUGAAGGUCCAAAAUGUGGCCAUUGUUUCCCUGGUUGCCGAGGGAAUGAGGCUGUGAGUUUGCCUGAAAAGCCACCAGCUAAUCCACAGCUGCCCAUUCUUGCUUCGUGCAGUGAAAUAACAACACCUAGCUUGGUUAUGGCAGCACAAAGGCUUUUGAGAGUAAGUGUGGCCAUCUCAAAUCACAAGAAACUGGUAGUAGGGGAGAAAGUCAUACUUCCCAAUUCUUCUGACUCAUAUCUAUUUCUCUUCUCUUCACAGAACAUCUGGAAAAUUCUCAGGUGUUCAUUCCUUUUCUGUUGUAUGAACACCAAUAUAGAAGACCUUCCUGUGCCACCUGACAGAUACUACGACCUUCUCCUUAAACCCUGAGCAUGGUGGGGCACCAUUGUUGGACUGCAAUCUGUAAAAGUCUUUCCCCAAGAUUGCUUCCUAUCCAUAAGAGCCUUGCAGGGGCAAAAAGAUGGGCAAACUGACUGGCUGGUCUUAGAAAGGAGAGGCUGGGCUACAUGAAUGUUGUUUGACAUGUCACCUUCUUCUUUUGGUCAGGACUGAUGAGAUACAGGAAUGGGAUGAGCAGCAGAGCCACUCUUAUCACGGAAAGACAUCUUCAUUCCCAGAGAUUCAUUGUCGUGCUGUUGGUCCGUAUGUGAAGAAAUCUCUCCUGGGAAACCUGGCCAGCCUGGCAAUCUUAAGAAGAUGAGCCUUCUGGAUUUCUGGAAAGACCUUUACAGCUUGCAGUGGAAGGGACUGAAGACCGUUCAGCCUCAGAAGCCACUACAGCCUGCUCCAGGCGUUCCUCUGACUCAUCGAAAAUGAUGGACAUGAUGGAGUCCACCUCCUCCAGGCUGCUGGUCCUGGACCCCACCAGUGUUUCCAUCGAAUCCUGCAAAUGACAGUAUUGAGGCUCAAUCCAAAGCUCUCUGCAUCCCAAUAAGAUGGCUGAAGCAGAGGGUGCAUUGGCCCCAUUGCCAAACUUUUCUUACCACUGAGGAGGGGGUUACAUGCUCUUCUUCCACCACCAUCUCGGUCCUGUUCAGAGGAAGAAGGUGAAAUGUUUGACAUCAGGUUAGUUUCUUCUUUCCAAGAUGGGCAACUUAGCCCGUCCAUCUUUUUCUACCCGGCAAGCUCCUACUGAACAAGCAGACGUCUUCACCCUCUGACAUGCUACCUACCUUGGAAGACAGGGACUCCCUCUCGGGCCAUCACCCUUUUCCCAGUGUUUAGCAGAACCAGAGGUAGAGGGUAGAGAUAAAUCAAAGUUCUCUCCAUGUGAUAGGAGAUUGUCUGUUUUCCCAGGAGAGGGGGGCUACAUUGCAGAGGGUAAAAAGACCGCAGAACGUGGAAUAUUUGGCCAAUAGGAAGAGGCUCAAAAUGGCUGUUCUUUAGUAUUUCCCAGUAUUUUCCCUUCCAAGCCAUCAAAAUUAUUCCACAAAUCCAAGAGAUUCUUUUUGCGUUUGCUAGGCUGGCUAGGUUCCCCCAAGUGAGAAUUACUACCUUCCCCCACCCGGUUUUGAGGCAUUAACACCCCCCCCCCAACAUUUGGCAAAGCCAUCCUUACCCCUGGAAAUGGAGAGCUUCUUUCAGGACAAGAGGGGCUCCACAGCUCACCACCUUCCUGUGCCUCCUCAAUCCUGAUCAAAGGAAGAAGGUGACAUGUCAAAAAACAUCCAUCAAGCUCAGCCUCUCUUUUCUAAGACCAGCAAUCAGCCUGCCCAUCGUUUUGCUCCUGCAAGCCUCUUGUGGACAGGAAGCCAUCUUAGGAAGAGGCUCUUACAGACUCUGCAGUCCAUCAAGGGUGCCCCACCACGCCCAGGGUAUAAGGAGAAAUCAUGGUACCUGUCAGAAGGCACAGGAAGACAGCAGCAAAAGAUCUUUCUCAGAUGUUUGCAGAUAUUCUGUGAAGAGAAGAGAAAAUAGAUGUGAGCCAAUCAGAAGACAUGGGAACCAUGAUUUUCUCCCCUACUGACAGUUUCUUGGCAUCUGAGAUGGCCACACUUACUC